rnacentral:rRNA from 1 species
AUUGAACGCUGGCGGCAGGCCUAACACAUGCAAGUCGAACGAGUGGCGGACGGGUGAGUAAUGUCUGGGAAACUGCCUGAUGGAGGGGGAUAACUACUGGAAACGGUAGCUAAUACCGCAUACCAUCAGAUGUGCCCAGAUGGGAUUAGCUGUUUGGUGGGGUAACGGCUCACCAAGGCGACGAUCCCUAGCUGGCCCGAGGGGUUGACCAGCCAAACUGGAACUGGGCCACGGUCCAGCCUCUUACGGGAGGCAGCAGUGGGGAAUAUUGCACAAGGGGCGCAGGCCUGCUACAGCCAUGCCGCGUGUAUGAAGAAGGCCUUCGGGUUGUAAAGUCCGUUCAGCGGGGAGGCGUUACCCGCAGAAGAAGCACCGGCUAACUCCGUGCCAGCAGCCGCGGUAAUAC